CAAAAUGGCCGCCACCCAAACUACAAGUUCCAGAAUGCACUGCACAGGGAGGUGCAAAUGCCUCAGCCUGUUGAUUACAGCAGUUGCUCAUACACUGGGAGAAGACAAAGAGAGCAGAGGCAGAGAGAAGAGAAGCAGAGUUCAUGGGGAAAGAACCUAAGCUACCAGGACUUUGCUAAACCAGCAUAACGCCCCUGGACUCUCAUUCUUCCUUUGACUUUCUUCCGGUACAAAAGCAG